AUUGAACGCUGGCGGCAUGCCUUACACAUGCAAGUCGAACGGCAGCAUAGAGAGCUUGCUCUCUGAUGGCGAGUGGCGAACGGGUGAGUAAUGCAUCGGAACGUACCGUGUAAUGGGGGAUAACGUAGCGAAAGUUACGCUAAUACCGCAUACGACCUGAGGGUGAAAGCAGGGGAUCGCAAGACCUUGCGUUAUACGAGCGGCCGAUGUCAGAUUAGCUAGUUGGUGAGGUAAAGGCUCACCAAGGCGACGAUCUGUAGCGGGUCUGAGAGGAUGAUCCGCCACACUGGGACUGAGACACGGCCCAGACUCCUACGGGAGGCAGCAGUGGGGAAUUUUGGACAAUGGGGGCAACCCUGAUCCAGCCAUGCCGCGCGAGUGAAGAAGGCCUUCGGGUUGUAAAGCUCUUUCGGCCGGGAAGAAAUCGCACAGGCUAAUACUCUGUGUGGAUGACGGUACCGGCAUAAGAAGCACCGGCUAACUACGUGCCAGCAGCCGCCGUAA
rnacentral:rRNA from 1 species